UUCAUAAUUAUUUAUAUAAAUAAGUAAUUUUAUUAUUUGUUUUAGUUAUACUCUAUAUUUGAUAUUGUACAGUUUCCUAUGUUAAACUAAAAAAUUAAAAAAUUAAAGAAUUUUUAAACUAAAUUUCUUAACUAUGAUCCGAUGAAUCCCCUUUUUUUCAACUCGCUCUCUAUACACUUAGCAUACUUAACUGAAAUUCCAUUUUUGGGAGACUAUUGCUAACGGGCGGUCUCGAGCCAAAGGGCCUCUGCUUCAACGAAAACUUCGCGGCCGCUUGCCUCUCCUCCUCCCUCAUUCGCUCUGCUGGCGCCUGAGUUCUUGCCGGCGAUCAAGCUCCGUCUCGUCCCAUCUUUGGCAAACCACCCGACUUUUCUUCAAGGAGGGAGUGACGGGUUUGGUCACGAGUUUCUGCAAAAUUUCAGGUGCUGAGGCUAAGGGAGACAAAUUUAGUGGAUUUUGAUAUUCUUGAAGUACUUGACUGCUUGUUUGUUGGUUGAUCGAUUGUCAUGGAGCGCUUGCCCAUAGAGGUUAUCGGCAAAAUCAUGUCGCACAUUUCGGCUGCACGGACGUCGUUAGGGCUUCAGGGACUUGCCGGAAUUGGUGCGAGGCUUUCCACGAGCACCUCCGUGUCCUCUUGUUCGACUUGUGUGAGUGGAAUAGGUUUCGCCAAUUUACGGUGAGUGAGAUCGUGAGAUCGAGAUUCUGAUAACUCGAACUAUUUUCCAGACAAGGGGCGCGCUCUCUGCGAAUCGUACUUGAUCCUUACAUUGAGUACUUGGCCUCGACUGUACUGAGUUGGCUUCACCACACAAGGAACAGCUUGAGGGAGUUGGACUAUCUUGUCCACACAAACCCGGCCUUGGAUGUUUUAGAAAUUUUAGGGAGGCAGAAGCUUGAGGAGCUAGAUCUAGAAGAUAUUGCCAUUGAGCAGGUGGACCGAUUUUAGCAUAGGUUCACUUCUUUGAGGUAUCUCUGCUUAAGCUUUGUCCGAAUCUCGGUGCUGGGCUUGACUCUUUUACUUGAUGCAUGCCCGGAGCUUCAGUCUUUGGUACUUAUUGGAGUGGAGCCUUCAGGAGAAGUUAAAAGUUAGUUCUCCUAAUCUAAGGAGCUUCUGUAUGUAUUCGUUAGCCUUGGACCAGCUUAUCUUGGAGGCGGAUGAAAUUAAAUAUUUGCACCUGAGAGAUAUAACUGUCAGGUUACUCAGGUCAUCAGAAUCAGUAACUUGAAGACGAUAAUGAUCAACUCUCUUUUUGUGCAAAAUAUUGAAAUCUGUGAUUCGAGUGAGAAUCUGGAGUCUAUCGACUUCGAGACGUUCACAGUUCUGCAAGCAGUGUUCUACCGAUUAAUCCCGAAAUCCUCGAAAUUGAGGAAACUCAGUCUUUGAGGUGUGGCGUUCAGAGAGGGGCACAUGUUCAUUGACUUGGAUGAAAUUGACUCACGCUGCCUGCAGCUAAGCCAUCUCUCUCGGGCUGCGACCUAGAAGAUGAUGAGCAUGAGCUGCUUCUGUAUCGUCUUGGAGGUUAUGCGUGCUUUGCCAAUGUGGUUCAGUUGAAGGUUGCGUGGUCCCUCAAGGGUGAAUUCAUGGACUUAAUUGAGGGUUUGCUAGGAUGCUGUCCAUGCCUUCAGAAACUGACUGUGAAUGCGGAAGUUACAGGCGUGGAGGACGAGGAUCGUCAGGUGCUGCUUCGUUUCACCACUGCUAUGAUUAAGGUCAUGAGGAGGAAAAUUGAUAUGGAUGUAGUGCUUAAUUUUCAUUCCCUAGUGCAAGAAGAGGGCCUAGCUUAGGAGUUGAACUUCAUAUUGUAGUGUCAUAUGUGUUGUGGAACGAGUCUUGUCAAAGAUUUACGGAAGCUGUUGAUCUCAAGAAUAAACAGGAACGAUUUGUUAGAUCUAUAUACAUUGAAAGAUUCUUAGACACCUUUAUUUUCAGGUCUAUACUAGCCUCAUGCUGGGCCUCGAUGCUCGCUGAAUGCAUUCAUUACAGUGAUUGAUGC